rnacentral:rRNA from 10 species
GGAGGACCACCUUCGAAGGCUAAGUACUCCUUACUGACCGAUAGCGAACCAGUACCGUGAGGGAAAGGUGAAAAGUACCCUGAACAAGGGAGUGAAAUAGAACCUGAAACCAUACGCUUACAAGCGGCAGGAGCCUUCGGGUGACUGCGUGCCUUUUGCAUAAUGAUCCUACGAGUUACUCCUCAUUAGCAAGGUUAAGUAGUUAAGCUACGUAGCCGAAGCGAAAGCAAGUCUGAAUAGGGCGUACAGUUAGUGGGGGUAGACGCGAAACUUGGUGAUCUACCCAUGGGCAGGUUGAAGUCUCAGUAACAUGAGAUGGAGGACCGAACCAGUACACGUUGAAAAGUGUUUGGAUGACCUGUGGGUAGGGGUGAAAGGCCAAUCAAACUGAGAGAUAGCUCGUACUCCCCGAAAUGCAUUUAGGUGCAGCGUCGUAUUAUAGCUUGGUGGAGGUAGAG